CUACGGGUUGCUCCAGUGGGGAAUAUUGCACAAUGGGCGCAAGCCUGAUGCAGCAACGCCGCGUGAGGGAUGAAGGCCUUCGGGUUGUAAACCUCUUUUAGCAGGGAAGAAGCGAAAGUGACGGUACCUGCAGAAAAAGCACCGGCUAACUACGUGCCAGCAGCCGCGGUAAUACGUAGGGUGCAAGCGUUGUCCGGAAUUAUUGGGCGUAAAGAGCUCGUAGGCGGUUUGUCACGUCUGCUGUGAAAAUCCAAGGCUCAACCUUGGACUUGCAGUGGGUACGGGCAGGCUAGAGUGCGGUAGGGGAGAUGGGAAUUCCUGGUGUAGCGGUGGAAUGCGCAGAUAUCAGGAGGAACACCAAUGGCGAAGGCACAUCUCUGGGCCGUAACUGACGCUGAGGAGCGAAAGCGUGGGGAGCGAACAGGAUUAGAUACCCCAGUAGUC
rnacentral:rRNA from 1 species